CCUACGGGGGGCAGCAGUGAGGAAUAUUGGUCAAUGGCCGUAAGUCUGAACCAGCCAAGUAGCGUGAGGGAAGACUGCCCUAUGUGUUGUAAACUUCUUUUAUAAAGGAAUAAAACUAGGCACGUAUUCCUUUUUUCAUGUACUUUAUGAAUAAGAAUCGGCUAACUCCGUGCCAGCAGCCGCGGUAAUACGGAGGAGCCGAGCGUUAUCCGGAUUUAUUGGGUUUAAAGGGCGCGUAGAUGGGUUGUUAAGUCAGUUGUGAAAGUUUGCGGCUCAACCGUAAAAUUGCAAUUGAUACUGGCAGUCUUGAGUACAGUAGAGGUAGGCGGAAUUCGUGGUGUAGCGGUGAAAUGCUUAGAUAUCACGAAGAACCCCGAUUGCGAAGGCAGCUUACUAAACUGUGACUGACAUUGAUGCUCGAAAGUGUGGGUAUCAAACAGGAUUAGAUACCCGAGUAGUC
rnacentral:rRNA from 1 species